rnacentral:rRNA from 1 species
GGACGAACGCUGGCGGCGUGCUUAACACAUGCAAGUCGAACGGUGAAGCGCCUUCCUUUUUGGUGGGUGUGGAUGAGUGGCGAACGGGUGAGUAACACGUGAGUAACCUGCCCCCUUCUUCUGGAUAACCGCAUGAAAGUGUGGCUAAUACGGGAUAUUCUGGGUCUGUCGCAUGAUGGGUCUGGGAAAGAUAUUGUUUCGGUGGGGGAUGGGCUCGCGGCCUAUCAGCUUGUUGGUGGGGUGAUGGCCUACCAAGGCGGUGACGGGUAGCCGGCCUGAGAGGGUGGACGGUCACACUGGGACUGAGACACGGCCCAGACUCCUACGGGAGGCAGCAGUGGGGAAUAUUGCACAAUGGGCGAAAGCCUGAUGCAGCGACGCCGCGUGAGGGAUGGAGGCCUUCGGGUUGUGAACCUCUUUCGCCAGUGAAGCAGGCCUGCCUCGUUUGUGGGUGGGUUGACGGUAGCUGGAUAAGAAGCGCCGGCUAACUACGUG